AUGUCGCUCGUCCCGGGGCAUUCAGCCCGUCCGCGUCGGCGCUCCCUGCGGCCUUUUGCUCGCCCUGCCUCGGCAGGGUGACGGCAGCGGGGAGGUCCAGCUGGCGUCGUGACGGGUGCACUUGCUCCGGUCGUCGAGAGCCACGACCGGUUCCUUCGCAGGCAGUGUGGAGUCCCUCGGUUGGGUUAACGGCGGUCUGAACGCUGUCCUCCUCGUGAGGGCUCGAUCUACCGCUCCGACUGGGACGGAAACUCGCCUGGGGACCGAGGAUUCGCAUCGGGGGCUGGGCGCCGUGUUUGCUACUCUCGUGCCGCGCGUCUCGCUGCCUUCGGGCAGCGGCCGGGCGCGAGGUUGCAUCGGGAGAGAGUUGCGGCGCCUCGGCCCCACACGAUGCUUGUCGGUGGCGGAUUAGGUCGGUACCCACCG
rnacentral:rRNA from 1 species